GCCUAUAAAAACAUUUCGCUGAAAACCAUUGAGGGGUUUGAGAUUUUUUGAACACAAGCCACUCAUUCUCCUUGCUUGGCCAUUCAGUAAACCUCUUUCUGCUCCAAACUUUGCCCUUUUCAGAUUCUUUGGCCUCAUUGUGCAUUGAGCAUGUGAACUUCUGUUCCAUGACACUUGUCAGUCUUGCAAAAGACUGAUAAAUUGAAAUCUUAAAACAUUUUCAGAACCAAGGUAAUUGCUGGGGGGUGAGAGGGGGAGGAAAAAUCCCUGAAUCUUCAUGAAAAACAUUUCACAAACCAAGACGCUCCAGAAGAGGAAUAGAGAGGAAACUAAAGAACUAGUUAACAGUUCUCUAAAAAAAGUUUGCAACUGUAGAAGAGGAAGAAAAUUAUUUUUCUCUCUACACCUUAGGUUCAUUGACUGGGCCCUAAAUAAAAGACUGAGAAAAGAAAGAUUAACAAGAGUAAAGUUAAGAAGCUUCCCAGUAAGGAAAUAAUAUUUGUACUAUUUUUCUGUAACACCAGCUAAGAUAAUGCAUCAGCAAGAGAAAUUGAAAGCGUCUGAUAAAAUAUUGAUAACAAAUACUUACGUACAAAGAAUUCACAAAAGCCUAGCUCUCCACUUGAAGCAGAGCAUAUGGCAGUUGACACCGGAACAGAUCGAACCACUGGCUGGGAUUACAAAGCACAUACUGAUCCAGAGGAGGAAAGUCACCCGUAGCAGAGGUUUUCAGCUAGAGUUUGUCCUCUGUGGACAGACACUCCAAGAUGAAGACGGUAGUAGGAGGAUAAGAGGAGAGGCUGAGCCCUGCCCAGAUGAGAUAGAGACGACAUAUUCUUCAUUCUCAAGGUCAAGGGGAGCUUCCUGCCUACACUUGUACAGAAAGGCUCGGUGGAGGUCAAAAAGAGUGUGCUGAUGCCAACCUACCCACGGGCCUCUUCCCUGGAAUCCAUCUUGGCUAAGAGAUGCACGCCCAGAUGGGAGGACCCUGAGCUAAACCAAACAGACUCAGAACAAGGCCAAGCAAGGUGACUGGUCAGAGGAAACCCAGAAGAAACGCCCCAUGUAAGAGAUUCAAAGUACCACGAGGGCAUGACUCCCUGCCUCUGCCCCGUGUGCCUGCUCACAGGGACUCUUGUUCCUCCUAAUAAACACUUGACUUUUUUCACUGCUUUCCGUUACAUUGUGGGAAUUCAUUUCCACAAAGCUGAC
ensembl:lncRNA